GUGCUCAUUCGCACAUGCUUGUGAGAGUUGCUCCCCACAAGCCGGCUGUCACGCCCCGAGCCUCGCCUAUUUGGUCAGGUUCGGCACGCCGACAGACCGCCGAACGGACAGAGUUUUUCCUGUACGUCCUAGGCGUCGCAAUCAAUACAAUUACAAUAGGUUCCAACAAGGAACAGUAUUCAACGUACAACGAUUGCAUAAGGAAGGUAUCAAACAACAUAAACACAUCCUAAGUUAUUACAUUCAUUCAUUCAUUCACUUGAUAUUAUUUACAUUUCUUUUCCUUUCAAAUACAUUUAAACUUCCGAAUACAAUCAAUCAUCACAAGAUUAUUAUAAGUUUGAUCCUUUUGCUUUUCUUUUCUACAACCCCUAACUUGGCUGACUUGGGUACCGCUAUCUCUGGUCACGGUGGUAGGGCGCUAUCUACGGAGCUAUGCCCUCGCCUCACGCCGCCGCGCCGCUCACGUGUGAACCUGUAACACCCCAAAAGCAACGUGGGGCGAGAACUAACUCCAUAGUUUCCAGUGGAUACGGCCACCCAAGGGAAAAGCUCGACGGAUAGGUCCGAAGGAGGCAACUGCAGGUUAGUUCAAUAAACAUGUAAGAUAUCGAAAUUCGACGAUAUUGGCUAACUUUGGCCAAAUGGGCCAAAGUGGGUGAUUAAACAAUUUGGACAAGUUCCA
rnacentral:lncRNA from 1 species